ACUUGAGAGACCUUCUCUCGAUCAGUUUAUACACUCAACGCUGUACCAACAUCUCGCAGCUUCUGAGACAAGUACGUAGCAAAAGAAGAACGGAACCUACACCAUGUCUAUGGUUUGGUUUGUUGUGACAUUUGCUGUAUGCAUUCUGUGGAAGCUAGUUAUACAACGCUGGUUUAAGGAGCGAAGCCUUCCUAUCGGGACCGUGCAUCCUCCAAUGCCGCCUGUGAGCACUAUUUUCGGACACGAAGAACUCAACUGGCCUUAUUUCCACUGCACGAAAGCAGCCGAAUGGGCCAAGGAGUACGGGCCUGUGUAUCGAUUGACCCUGAAUUUUACCAAUGUGGUUGUGCUCAGCAACGCACACAGUAUCAAGACAUUUUGUAAGAAUAACGACGGUCUGUUUCGUUCUGGUUGUUUUAUCGUCGGUCGCGACUACAACCAAGGAAUCGUAACGCUAAACGGGGAAUGCUGGACAGCGAACAGAAGGUAUUGCCUGAGCGUGCUGCGCGACCUUGGUUUUGCAAAAUCUUCGAUGGAGCAGCGCAUGACGGAUACCUUCCGUGAAUUUGAGGCCUGUAUAGGCGAUACAAAAGGCCAGCCUGUGAGCAUUCGCCCGAUCCUCAUUUCCUGCUUCACCAAGAAUGUCACGUCUUUUUUUUAUCCUAACGGUCUUCUCGGUGGGGACAAAGCUUUAUGUAAGGUGACCAGAAUCCUCGACGCACUGAAAGCCUUAAUGAUGGGAGGUACAAACAAUGAUUUAUUGCCUACCUUUAUCCGAAACCUGCUCUACUAUAUUCCUUCCUCAAGGAAUGCACAAGUGGAGCGAAAUAUGAAUGAACUGGAUAACUUUAUUCGAGACCAGAUUGAAAGCUACAAGUCCAACACGAAUGAAAAUGAUGAACGAGGAUUCAUUGAAGCCUAUAUGAAGAAAAUUGAAGAAGCGAGACAGGAGCCAUUACCAAAGUUUCAAG